AAGUAAAAACUUACUUUUAUUUAAUUUUCUAAAUUAAUAGAAAUAACUUUAUUUAUAGUAGGGUUUACUGAAUUAAUUAUUUUGUUGUAGUUAAGUGUACUGUAGAGGAAACUUUUUAUUUUAAUUAAAGAAGUUUUUACUUAAUGUACCUUUUGUAUCAGGGUUAAUUAAUUAAUUUCAUUUAUUUGUCUUUCCCGAAGUUAAGGGAGAUACCAUAUAUGUUAGUUAUUGUUUCAUAACUAUUAAUAAUAUAAUGGUUGUAAUGAAAAGUUAUUCGUUCUUAAAUAUCUGGUUUUCCAGGAAUUGAAUUUAAUUCAUAAUUACUAGUUUACAUAUUUUAAAUUGAAUUAUUUUUGUUUAGUAAUUUAAUAAUUUUGGGGAUAAGCUCGGGAUUAAUUUUAUAAUUAUUAUUUGUAUAUUAAUUUUUGUAGGCCUAUAAUCAGCCAUCAUUAACUUCGUUAUAGAAUAUAUUUUUAUAUUUUUUAUUUAGUAUAAUUUAAUUUUUUAUUGGGAUUAUCUAUUUAAUAGGUUAAUAGAUGUAAUAAUGAUUAGAUUAGUAUAUAUGAUAAUUAAGUUAUAGGAAUUCGGCAAGUAUAAUGCUCACCUGUUUAACAAAAACAUGUCUUUUUGAUUAUAAUAUUUAAGGUCUAACCUGCCCAAUGAGGCUUCAAUGGCCGCGGUAUUUUAACUGUGCUAAGGUAGCAUAAUCAUUUGUCUUUUAAUUGAGGGCUUGUAUGAAGGGUUGAAUGAAGCAUUCUCUUUCUUUAACUUAUAAUUAGAAUUUUCCUUUUUAGUUAAAAGGCUAAAAUUUUUGUGUUGGACGAGAAGACCCUAUAGAUCUUAAUAUUUUUAAUUAUUAGCUUUUUUAGAUUAUUUACUAGUUAAUAUUUUACUAUAUAUUUAAUUGGGGUGAUUUUAGAAAUUAAAUAACUUCUAUUUUUCUAAUUCAUAAAUUAAUGUUUUAAUGAUCCGUUAUUAUUGAUUAUAAGAUUAAGUUACCUUAGGGAUAACAGCGUAAUUUUUUUGGAGAGUUCAUAUCGAUAAAGAAGUUUGCGACCUCGAUGUUGGAUUAAAAUUAGUAUUAGGCGCAAUAGUUUAAUAACUAGGUCUGUUCGACCUUUAAUUUUUUACAUGAUCUGAGUUCAGACCGGCGUGAGCCAGGUCAGUUUCUAUCCUCAUUAAUUAUACUAUAUUUUAGUACGAAAGGACCAAAUAUAGGAAAUAUUUUUUUUCUUUGAUUAAAAUU
rnacentral:rRNA from 1 species